GAGAGACGCGAAGGGGAAUUCUGCCUGGCAACUAAGGACGUCAUCGAGAGCCGGCUUGUUAUUGGGUAGAACACAGGCUGCCUUCACCACGAGGCUGAAAUGACCCUCUGGGGGCACGGCAGAAAAUGAUACAAGUUACGGACAAGGAGCUGCGGCAGCCCCAAGGCGGGAAGAGGCGAGCUGGAGGAGAAGCCUCCACUUCCCGCCUAUGAGCCCGCGGAACGCGAUGUUCCCUGCGGAAGGGCCCCAGCUCCGUGCGCCUUGCUGCGCAUGCGCGCGGCGGGAGCGCGGCCUGCUCCGGCGUCCGCGUCCCUCGCGCCGGGCCCGGCAUUUGGGUCAUGCUUCCCUCAGGGCUCGGGCGGCAGCGGUGCCCCGGGUCCGGCAUUUGGGUCACGCUUCCCUCAGGGCUCGGGCGGCAGCGGUGCCCCGGGUCUGGCAUUUGGGUCACGCUUCCCUCAGGGCUCGGGCGGCAGCGGUGCCCCGGGUCCGGCAUUUGGGUCACGCUUCCCUCAGGGCUCGGGCGGCAGCGGAGCUGCCCCGGGCCCGAGCUUUGCUGCGGCGCCUUCAAAGUCGGCCACGAAGCCGGGUUAGCGGGAGCAGGCAGCUUGUGAGGCCGCUGUCACCCUGUGGGAGUGGAGCUGAGCUCCUUCCCUGGCCGAGCCGGCAGGUGAUCCGCUCUCCUUUGCUCCAGUGCACACUCUUCCUUGUGUUUGGCAGUGUUAAUGUACUCACAGAGAAAGUUCUCUUGCUUGCUGAUUUAUCUUGUGCGCCCCCUCUCCCCUCUUUGUUAAUUUUUAUAGCCUUUCGCUCUGCAGCGGGUUAAUUUCUUUAUCUGUUUUUUCAUAUUUUAGAAAUAUUUCUACAAAGGUCUCCCUUGGCUACCAUUAAACUAUUUCUAUGCCCUCUUGUCAUGGUCUGAGGCUGGCGAAAUGCCAAACCACGACACCUAUUAUAUUCUUUGAACUGAUUUUCUGUCUUCCUUAAGCAGUCCAAGUGAGUGGAUUUGGGUGGGAGCCGAAAAAGAGGACCACGAAGCUUCCUGGAUUUUCCCCUCCUUGCAACCUCUUUGAAAGAUUUGUGCCACCAGAAAGCAUGCAAUAGCAAUCCAUACCUUUUUUAGGGUAUAAACUUUGCUUGGCUGCACUUUGGAUUGUUUAUUCUGGAACACAGAAUGUGCUUACUGUGGGAAGCAGUGAGUAAGCUUGGGAAAAACAGAAUAAUCAAAAAUGCACCUGUAUUUGGGUUAUAACAAAUAACCCAAAUAUAUGUUAUUGGACAUUCCAAGGGUCGAAAGUAAAGUUUUCCAAGUUUUAUUUUAAUGUCAACAUUUUAUUUUAAUGUGACUGCUUUGAAGGCAGCUCUUUUACCUUUCCCAGGAUAAAUUGCCUGUGACAUGUCUAGCCAGGCAAGCAAAUAACUUAAAAUCAAUGAGAACCUAUAGCUGAAUCAAAGGAGUCUUCUAUAUGCACAUAUAAUACCAUUGGGUAGAACAUUUUUAUCUAUGUGAUAAAAACAUGAAGGGGACUUCGCUAGCCUGAGUGGGCAGACUUCAAUUGUAGAUGAUAACUUGUAGUAAAAUAUGAUGAUGAAAUCACUACCAUUCCUUUAAAAGGGAAAAGAAAAAUUAAUUCCAGGUCUCAUUAUUACUUUCCCUGUUUUCCAUCCCCAAAUCUUCCAUCACAUAAAACAGAUGUGGGCUAUUGAUGUUCUCCAUCACUUAUGUCUAAAUAGCUUACCUCGUCUUUCAUCUUUUCUGCCUUCCACUCCAUCCUCUGAGAAAUUCACUUGUCUCUGAGUCGUUCCAUUUUUGCAAUCCUUGCAUUAUCCUUUGUUGUCUAUUUGUAACAUUGCCCCAGUUUACUGACAGGUCUCCAAGCAAAGGCUUUGAGGCUCCAUGAUGAUGUACUUGAGGUUUAUUGAUUGUGGCUGCAGUGUGGUGGGGUCCAUCAGCAUUUACUGAGGUCACAAACUUCCCCGGCAUUUUACACUGGGAUCGCUGCAACGGAAGGCAUAGAUUAUGUUGGAAGAGAGAUUUUCAUUGCUACUGAAAAUUUUUGCUUGGAAUCUGGAUACCUCCUUCCUGCUUACUGCUUUCAUAUUAGCACCCUGUUCCUUUAUCCCAUUCCCUCAUUUCCUACCUCUGCAUGCAUGUGUGCACAGAACUCCUAAUGGAUUUGUAUCCUCUCUAUUUCUUCUGUCCUUUUACCCCACAAUAUUUUUUUUUUUACCCAAUCUAUCUUUUCCUCUGCCUGACUUCUCACAGGUAUAAGUUGUUCCCCUACCAGCAUUGACAGUGAUAGAUUAAGGAUGGAAUUACUUAUCUGCACCUUGUAAUCCAAACAGAAUCGCAGUCUGCUGUUAGCAGUCCACAGGGGUUGCUGCUGAAUAAAUUGGAAUGCUGGUAGCUGUGCUCGCUGAAGCUUCUCUCAUCUUGAAUACGUGAGAAAGAGGGGAAGAGGAACCCUGUGGAUUUAAACAAAAGAAAAACCCCAACAACAGAGGGUGAUGCUCUUAUCCUAGAGAAGUGUUUGUUAGGUUCAAUCCUGUAUUUAGCAGCUAAGGAGGAAUAGAACACUCUUUUCAUUCACACAUUUAAUUUUCCCCUCAAAUGAAACAAGAUUAUUUUGAGUGGGAAGUGCCCCUUUCAUAUGAGCAGGUAAAGUUUCCCUGACAGCCUGAAAUUUGAAAAUGAGACUCUGAAAUUUGAAGUCACAUUCCCUUAGGUAGUGGUCACAAAGCAGCAGUCAAACUGCACUUGUGUCUGUGUGCCGUGUGUGGCUCGCAUUUCAUCUGUCUGCAGAAGGCAGCGAUGGUGGAACUGCAUCUCCAGCAGGAGUGGCAGGGAAUUUCAGACACCAGGGAAGAAAAUUAUGGAGCACUUACUGUUCAGGGCAAAGAAGAUGUAAGAUGGCAAUUAAGAAAUUUAAGCAACUUUUACAUCGGCUCUCGAAUUCCCUGGACCUUCAUUCUCUCGGCUGCAGUAGCGGGGUGCCGGAUGCCUUUUCGGUGUGUCUGCGUGCUCCUGUAAUGAGGCUUUAUUGCCACGCGAGGUUCAUCAUCUUCUGACCACACUGGUGGAAUGUGGAGGGGGUUUGACACUGCACAGAAGAUGAUCAGGUCUUACAGGAACUGGCUGCAAGUUUUCAGCUCUUUGAAACUUCUUCAUCGGCCUCAAGUUCAAACCGUGAUUGGACAGGAGGUAAACUGCUGAAACUAUUUCAGAGCUGAAUGGUCUUGCAAGAAUGAGAAAAGGCUUAAAGAAGAAUCAAAAGAAAGGAGAGAAAAUUUGUAAUUUGAGACCCCAGCUAGAAGAAGGCUGAUUAGGUUGGGAUCAAUGUUUGCGAUGAUACAUUUGAGAAAGUUGUCUCUAUGGUUUUAAAAAUCCCUAAAGAUCAGUUCCUGCAACUGCUGUGGGGUCCUGAGGGACAGCAUUCAAGGGCCAUCAGGAGAAUUAACAUUAACCCCUAUGAAAGGCUGCUUGUUUACAAUCGUUUAGUGAUUUAGGAAGCUGAUGUUUGAAACAAGUGGUAGAGCUGAUGCCUGACAAUUCAGCUGCAGGGAAACAAGAUUAGUUUGCAACAGAAAUACAGCAUCUCAAUACUACAUAUGAAUGGGAUGUACAUGUGUGACUUUACAUUUUAUUUACAUAUGCAGUUACAUUCUUAAAUUGGAUUUAUGGGCCAAAGGAAAAGCUGGGAAGUAUCUGUCCUCCUUGUCCUUUGGUCACAGUCUCAGCUGUCAACUUUUGUUUGUAUUUCAAGCCUUUCUGGUGUAAAAACUCGCUGUUGAAGUCAAUUUAAGAAAUGGAAAAUAAACUGGUAGUGUUGUAUGGUAGGGAUAUGGUUAGAAGAAUCAAAAGAAAAAAGCACAUCAUUCUCUUCUCAUUAUCAAGUGUAAACACAGAGUAUUUCCAUUUCAAAGUUAGGAAACAGUGAAAGCUGCAGAAGAAAAAGAUAAGGAGAAGAGGCAUUUCAUAUUGCUUUAUUACAAUGUACUGGGUUUCAGGCACUGUUUCAAAGAAAAAGUUAUGGCAGUCUUAAAUAUGGAGGUUAAUGCUGUAUUUUCUUGUACAAGCCAAAAUCAUUAUGCAAUAUUGUUCUUUUAUUCCAAUUAAAACUAGUUUUGAUUUGCAGCCUUCUGGAAUAGCUGAAAAUUUAUCUGAUAUGAGGCUUGGAUCAACUGUAAGCUUACU